rnacentral:rRNA from 1 species
CUUAGGUGGGAGACGUUGAACCUUUUCUUCCGGGAAAGAGAGAGUCAUCGGUGAGAUACCACUCUUGGUAAGCUAGAGCGCUCAUUUUUAACCGUUAUCCGGUAAAAAGACAGUUUCAGGCGGGCAGUUUGACUGGGGCAGUCACCUCCCAAAAGGUAAUGGAGGUGUACAAAGGUUCUCUCAGGCUGGACGGAAAUCAGCCAUAGAGUGUAAAAGCAUAAGAGAGCUUGACUGCGUGACGGACAUGUCAAGCAGAGACGAAAGUCGGUUUUAGUGAUCCGACGGUGCUGAGUGGAAAGGCCGUCGCUCAACGGAUAAAAGUUACUCUAGGGAUAACA